ACGCGUCCCUCGGCGGCGGGCAGGCUCCUCUUGGCCUGCAGCCUUACUUUCAUGCCCUUCUUCACAGUCUCCUGGGAGAUUAAGAUGAGUGACCUAGAGGAGAAGGAUGUUGAUGAAUUCAGCUCCAGUGGUUUUAAGUGCCCAACAUGCUUUGCAGUGCAAGGAAGGAAAUGCAAUACAGAACUCAAAUGGUGUGCAGCAGAUAAAAUAAAGUGUAUUGAAUUCUCUGGCAUCAUAAACACAGGUAUUCGUGACGUAGCCAUUGAAAUGAGGAGAUGCAUACAAGCAGACCUAUGCAAAGAGAUAACUUCUUAG
rnacentral:sRNA from 1 species